ACAGAUGAUGAGCUGUUGGCAACGCUGUGUGGAGAGAAAGACUAUGAAGCUCUUAGAGUUGAGGUGAACCCUAAGCUUCAAUCACAGUUUGGUUCUCUGACUCUGAGUUUUCGGAGUGACUAUUCCAAUCCUAAACGACAUAUUGGGUUCUCAGCAUACUAUACAGCUGUUGAUAUUGAUGAAUGUGAAGAGACUGCUACGUGUUCUCAUGACUGCAACAAUUAUAUUGGAGGAUACUACUGUUCUUGUCAACCUGAAUACUUCCUUCAGGAAGACAAUUCGACCUGCUCAGUAAACUGCAGUGGACAGAUCUUCACCAGUCUCAGUGGUAUUGUGAGCAGCCCCAUUCUCCAUGGUCAUUACCCUGAGAAUUCAGCCUGUGUGUACCAGCUUGAGGUGGAUGACGGCUUCCAGC